rfam:Danio rerio chromosome 4, GRCz11 reference primary assembly.
UAGCUCAGUCGAUAGAGCAUGAGACUCUUAGUCUCAGCGUCGUGGGUUAGAGCCCCAC